GGGCUGGUUCCUCCGUUGACGUAGGUGAGAUAGGGCUGGUCCCUCCGUUGACGUAGGUGAGAUAGGGCUGGUCCCUCCGUUGACGUAGGUGAGAUAGGGCUGGUCCCUCCGUUGACGUAGGUGAGAUAGGGCUGGUCCCUCCGUUGACGUAGGUGAGAUAGGGCUGGUCCCUCCGUUGACGUAGGUGAGAUAGGGCUGGUCCCUCCGUUGACGUAGGUGAGAUAGGGCUGGUCCCUCCGUUGACGUAGGUGAGAUAGGGCUGGUCCCUCCGUUGACGUAGGUGAGAUAGGGCUGGUCCCUCCGUUGACGUAGGUGAGAUAGGGCUGGUCCCUCCGUUGACGUAGGUGAGAUAGGGCUGGUCCCUCCGUUGACGUAGGUGAGAUAGGGCUGGUCCCUCCGUUGACAGGUGAGAGAGGGCUGGUCCCUCCGUUGACAGGUGAGAGAGGGCUGGUCCCUCCGUUGACAGGUGAGAGAGGGCUGGUCUCUCCGUUGACAGGUGAGAUAGGGCUGGUCCCUCCGUUGACAGGUGAGAUAGGGCUGGUCCCUCUGUUGACAGGUGAGAUAGGGCUGGUCCCUCCGUUGACAGGUGAGAGAGGGCUGGUCCCUCCGUUGACAGGUGAGAGAGGGCUGGUCUCUCCGUUGACAGGUGAGAGAGGGCUGGUCUCUCCGUUGA